GAUGAACCGGAUUACGCGACCAGCCGUAGGGAUUCGCAAGGGCGAAUAAGCUGUUUAUCCAAUAAUCUCAUUGAAACCCUGGCUGAUGUGAUUCUCAAGCAUAGCGAGGCAAUCUCCCUAGGCCGCCAUCUUGGUUACUCCCACUCGACUGUAAAGAAAUAUUUCAAUCGACCAGAUUCAUCGUUUGAUAGAAUCUCAAGAUCAGGCUUUGUUGACAUGCUGAGUGAUUGGAGACGAAGAGUCCGACCUAGUGAGCAGGUAGAGAAGCUUUACCAAGCCCUGAAAGAUGCUGGUCUGAGCUAUGUAACAAAUACCAUCCUGCAUGGAGUGGCUAGCUCUUCUAAGACCAGCGUUGCUCAACGCGUACGAGCACUUGAGUCAAAUAGGCCUAAAUAGAAAGCGACUGUUCCAUUGACCUCAAGAAUGCUAAGCCUAUACCUCUGGAACUGGAUUGCCAAUGUAUGAAGAUUCGAGAGUUGGGGUCAACUGGCUAACCAGAGGAUGUCUGAGGGGAUAGCUCACCUUUGAAUUUCAUCUUAACAAAAUGUGUCGUGAUAUGUGAUACUAGGGUCAAUAUUAAAGGGGCAAUUAGGGGUAAUAAGCAAGUAGCAUGGAUUAUAUGAACAUUACAUUAUGACGUUUAGCAAUUACUUCGCAGACGUUUUCUAUAACGUAGAUAAUCUUUUGUCAAAAGUCGUUCCUUCAAUGACAAAGCAGCAUUUAUCAAACGAUCGGUGAAUCAAAACAGCAGUGUCGUCAUGGACUCUGGACAAACCAUAUAAAUGUCAGGUUCGAAUCCUAAGACGAUGUGUUUUCCUGAUCCACCGACUUUCAACAAUGACCUCUAUCAUCUAUCCAUCAUGAUUCAAAUUCAAAUUUAUUUAUUUCACUUCCAUCAAACAAAAACGAAUUGUAUACCAUAUACAGUGCGUCCCACAAAAAACGAAACCGAGAUUUAUCGAUGAUUUAUCAUAACUUAAUCGCAAAUACAAUAGACAAAUGACCUACCAUUUUAAAGCUUAGAAUCUCCUUUUUCAUCUGAAAUUACUUAGAUUAUUUCUCAUUCACGCAUGAGUGAGCAAAAACUAUUUUAAAAGGGGAUACCAAAAAGUCACUUGGCGGGCCGUAUCUGGGUUUUAAAAAGAAAACCACAUUUUUAAAAAGUUCAAUAUCUGCUCUUUAAUUUGAUACCUCAAUUACAGAAAAUGGUCAAGAAAUAAAAAAGUUCUGGUUAUUUGAAAUAAGGCUUGAAUUUCAAUAAUUUCAUAAAAUGAAGAGGUUUUACAGGCUAGCGUUCAAACUCACCCGACACUCCGUUUUGUUGACGAUCAGCCAUGCAUUAAGUCUUUUGUUACCGUGCGAUAGCUUCAGUGGGAAACCGGUGAAAACACUUUUAUUUAAUGAAAUUAUGGAAAUACAAGCAUUGUUUCGAGGGAUCAUAACUUUUUUACUACUUGACCAUUUUCUGUGAUUUAGGUAUCAAAGAAAAGAGAAGAUAUUGAACUUUUUAGUCAUGUGAUUUUCUUUUUGAAAUUCAGA